GUGGGGAAUCUUGCGCAAUGGGCGAAAGCCUGACGCAGCCAUGCCGCGUGAAUGAUGAAGGUCUUAGGAUUGUAAAAUUCUUUCACCGGGGACGAUAAUGACGGUACCCGGAGAAGAAGCCCCGCCUAACUUCGUGCCAGCAGCCGCGGUAAUACGAAGGGGGCUAGCGUGGCGCGGAUUUACUGGGCGCAAAGGGCGCGUAGGCGGACAUUUAAGUCAGGGGUGAAAUCGCGGGGCUCAACCUCGGAACUGCCUUUGAGACUGCGUGGCUUGAGGAUGAGAGAGGGGUGUGGAACUCCGAGUGUAGAGGUGAAAUGCGUAGAGAUUCGGAAGAACACCAGUGGCGAAGGCGACACACUGGCUCAUUACUGACGCUGAGGCGCGAAAGCGUGGGGAGCAAACAGGAUUAGAUACCCCUGUAGUCC
rnacentral:rRNA from 1 species